GAAGUGUACUUUUUAAUGGUGCCAAACAGCAGUUGAUCUAUAAUAACUGCUGCUUGGCACCAUUAAAAAGUACAUAUC